rnacentral:rRNA from 1 species
UACGGAGGGUGCAAGCGUUAUCCGGAAUCACUGGGUUUAAAGGGUGCGUAGGCUGCAUGAUAAGUCAGGGGUGAAAGCUGGCAGCUUAACUGUCAAAUUGCCUUUGAUACUGUUGUGCUUGAAUCAGGUUGAGGUAGGCGGAAUGUGACAUGUAGCGGUGAAAUGCAUAGAUAUGUCAUAGAACACCAAUUGCGAAGGCAGCUUGCUGGGCCUGCAUUGACGCUGAGGCGCGAAAGCGUGGGGAUCAAACAGG